rnacentral:rRNA from 1 species
UACGGAGGGUGCAAGCGUUAUCCGGAUUCACUGGGUUUAAAGGGUGCGUAGGAGGGCAGGUAAGUCAGUGGUGAAAUCUCCAAGCUUAACUUGGAACUGCCGUUGAUACUACUGUCUUGAAUAUUGUGGAGGUGAGCGGAAUAUGUCAUGUAGCGGUGAAAUGACUUAGAUAUGACAUAGAACACCAAUUGCGAAGGCAGCUCACUACACAAUCAUUGACUCUGAGGCACGAAAGCGUGGGGAUCAAACAGG